GAUGAACGCUGGCGGCGUGCCUAAUACAUGCAAGUCGAGCGAACAGACGAGGAGCUUGCUCCUCUGACGUUAGCGGCGGACGGGUGAGUAACACGUGGAUAACCUACCUAUAAGACUGGGAUAACUUCGGGAAACCGGAGCUAAUACCGGAUAAUAUAUUGAACCGCAUGGUUCAAUAGUGAAAGACGGUUUUGCUGUCACUUAUAGAUGGAUCCGCGCCGCAUUAGCUAGUUGGUAAGGUAACGGCUUACCAAGGCAACGAUGCGUAGCCGACCUGAGAGGGUGAUAGGCAACACUGGAACUGAGACACGGUCCAGACUCCUACGGGAGGCAGCAGUAGGGAAUGUUCCGCAAUGGGCGAAAGCCUGACGGAGCAACGCCGCGUGAGUGAUAAAGGUCUUCGGAUCGUAAAACUCUGUUAUUAGGGAAGAACAAAUGUGUAAGUAACUAUGCACGUCUUGACGGUACCUAAUCAGAAAGCCACGGCUAACUACGUG
rnacentral:rRNA from 1 species